rnacentral:lncRNA from 1 species
CUUUCAGGAAAGUUCACCAAGUGAGAACCCACAGGACAACCUGGGCUGCCACCUGACUUUGUAAACACAGCCCUUCUCACUGUCUCUGCUGCAGAGUGGCAGAGGAAGAGCUACGAAAAUGGCAGAGGGCACCAGGGAGGCCGGGGGCAGCCCUCAAUACAGGACAAGGCGCAGCUGCAGCGGGCACACCUCCUGCCCUGGGCACCUGCGCCCUGGGGCCUCUCCCACCCUCUCUCCUCUCCAACCCAAGGUGAUGGCCACACGGGCCACCUGGCCAUGGCCCACCUGUUCUCUGGCCUCCUCUCUGCCAUGGCCUUGUCUGCUGGAACUGACCUCCCCGCUUCAAACACCACCAGCCCUCUGUGGCUCUGCUGGCCUCUCAGCCACAUCCACGAUCUGUCUUUUUUCGGUUUUGGGGAUUGAUCCCAGGGGUGCUCCACCCCUGAGCCCUGUGCCCAGCCCUUUUUUUGUGUUUAGUUAGAGACAGGGUCUCACUGAUUUGCUUAGGGCCUCACUAAGUUGCUGAGGUUGGCCUUCACAUUGCAAUCCUUCUGCCUGGGCCUCAAGGUGUGCCCCACAAAGCCUGGUGCUUCAGCUCAGGUCCAUCUGGAGCCCCACUCUGUGCUCAGAGCCUGGGCACCUGCUCCUGGAUGCCUAGGGCAGCAUCCCACCAGCAUGAGCAGAGGUGAGGGUCCCCUGCUGCCAGCACAGUCCCUACAGAGCCCCAUGCUGGGUUGCCAAUCUGUGUGCUCCUGGCUCCCUGCUGAGUGUGGCAGGCAUCUUUUUCCAUGUCCCCAGCAUCCAGCAUUUAGCAGGUUCAUGAAUAUCCAAUGACACAGCGACCUUGCCUACCCUGUGAUGCGAGAAUGAGACCCAUGGACACUGGAGACCCCAAGGCCAACUGGUGCUCGAGGCCCAGGAGCCGCACAUGCUGACUGGGGGCGGGUAGUGCACUUGCCUGUUGAGCUCAUGCACCAUGAAUUCUCCCAGUGGCCCCACAUCACCAUCUGCUGCUCCUUCAGCUGCUUGGCCACCUGCAUGAUGCCCAGAGCAGAGGAUGGCCUCAGAGGUGGAUUCAGAGAAAAGGUCUUGAGCUGCUGGACAAUUAAAGGGCUCUUUCUGCAGCUCUACAUCUUUAGAAAGACUUUAAAAAUGCCCUAAGGGGCAUUGGUGCACCCCUGUCAUUCCAGCAGCUUGGGAGGCUGAGGCAGGAGGAUCACAAUUUGGAGGCCAGCCUCAGCAAAUCAGCGAGACUGUCUCUAAAUAAAAUAUAAAAAGUGCUGGGGAUGGGGCUCAGGGGUUGAGUGCCCCUGGGUUGCAUCCCUGGUACCAAAAAAUAAAGAAAAAGAAAUGCAGACUUCCUGUGCUCACGCUGGACACACAAUUUGAUGACAUGGCACUGGAGACCAAAAACCAGCUCCACAGUCAAUUGCAAAAAAACAUGAAAAUGCUCAUAAAUAUUUUCCAUGAGAGACUUCCCAGCAAAUAACAAAUUCAGGGUUCAGAGGCCAAAAGAAAAAGAAAAGAAAAAAAGUCAAUUUUAUUCUCCUAAGAAGUCUCACAUGUUUUGCAAUUUUUAUUUUAUUAAUAUUUGUAAGCCAGGUGUCAUGGUGCAUGCAUGUAAUCUGGGUGGCUCUGGAGGCUAAGGCAGGAGGAUUACAAAUUGGAGGCUAACCUCAGCCAAAUUGGGGCUCUAAGCAACUCAGCAAGACCCUGUCUCUGAAUAAAAUAAAAUACAAAAGAGGGUUAGGGACGGGGCUCAGGGGUUAACUGUCCCUGAGUUCAAUCCCUAGCGACUUCCAUCCCCAAUUGGCAAUACUAUGGAUUGAACCAAGUCCUUUUUGAGACAGGGUCUCAUUUGCCAAGGGUGUGCUUGAACUUGUAAUCAUCGAACUAAUUGCUCCUUGCCUGAACAAGUGGUUUGGUGUAGCAAUUUCAUUUUUAGAAUCUUAUUUGCUAAGAACAACUGCUAAAAUAUGUGCAGAUGAUUGCCCAAGGAUAUUCACUUUGAUUCUAACUGUGACUGAGAAAGGACUGAAAUGUCCACCAGAAGACAAUUGGCUAAAAUCAACACUUCUUUAUCCUUGCAGUGCAGGUUCCUACUAAGAAAUAUGAGACAGGAUUACUCUGUGGCAUGUUAACUGUCCUUGAAAUAUUCUUAUAAGAUGUGAAAGUUUAGAUAUCAUUUUAAUGUGUUGUUAUUAUUAUUAUUAUUAUUAUUAUUAUUAUUAUUAGGUACUAGGGAUUUAACCCAGGACCACAUAACCUCUGAGUCCUGUCCCCAGCCCUUUUUAUAUUUUAUUUAGAGAUAGGGUCUUACUGAGUUACUUAGGGCCUUACUAAGUUGCUGACGCUGGCCUCCAACUUGUUAUCCUCCUGCCUCAGCCUCCUGAGCUGCUGGAUGACAGGCUUCAGCCUCUGCAAUCAGCUAUAUUUUUAAAACUUUGCACACUGAAAAUUCAGAAGAACUGUUUUUGAAACAGACAUUUUCCCCCAGAGGAAUACUCUGCAUGCAUGGAAACUUCCUGCAGAGGUGCCCCAUGGGAGGUAGGGCCCUUACCUUGGUCGGUGUGGAUGGUGGUGGGGUUGAAGGCCUUCCCCAGGAUGGUUUCAAAGCUGUUGGUUGAGAUGGAGAGGGAGAAGCCAGAGCCCAGGCCGUGCCUUUUCUAAAGAAGCUCAUCCAAAAAGAGCACGAUCAAGCCCACCACAAAGAAAUUCAGAAUUAAAAUAAAUUAAUUAAUAAAAGUAGACUCUGCAUUACUGGCCCCAGGGCCCUGGUUCCUUCCGUCUUCAAUGACUUGGCACUCUGCUAUGAAGGCCAAAUAAGAGACCCUUCUCAAUCUGCCUCACGGAAAUUCAGAAGCCAAAGCCAGGAUCUUUCGAUUCUCUUUUUUUUAAGUCUAUUUUUUUAGUUGGAGGUGGACACACCAUCUUUAUUUUAUUUUUAUGGGGUGCUGAGGAUGGAGCCCAAGGCCUUGUGCACGCCAGGUGAGUCUCUACUACUGAGCCCCAGCCCCAGCCCCUACAUUUUAUUUUUGUUCCUUAAUUGUUUUGGGGUUUGCAGGUGGACAGCAUGCCUUUAUUGACUUCAAUAUUUCUCAUUGGAGAUGAGCGCUGUGUCUUUAUUUGAUUGAUUUCCUUUGGGGUGGUGCCCAGCCUCCAACCAGGGGCCUGACCCUGCUCAGGCCAGUGUUUAGCCCUGAGCCCAGCCCUGAGCCUGGCCUGGCCUCAGCUCUGGUUGAGUACUGCUGAGGAGGAAGAGGGAUGGUGGGGUCACUCAGGAAGAGAGGUGCGAGUGGGGGUUCACCUGAGUGGUGAUCAGCAGGCAGAUCCCAAUGCCCAUCUCUGAGGGGUCCCUGUUCAUACAUGUCAUCACAUCCACGAUGGACUUGCCGAUGGUGACGAUCAUGCCGAACACUAGGAUCCCAAGAAAACCCUGAACAGAGUGUGGCAGGAGCACAUAUGACAAAUACUGACACUGCCCCCGGGGACUUGGUAAGGAUUGUCCAACUGUCACAGGUCAAAGUGCAAGAGAACUCAGAAGAUUUCUAGUGAAAGAAGCUUUGGUCUUUUUGUGGCUUUAGGGAUUGAACCCAGGGCCUGGCAGACGGUAGGCAAGUCCACUACUAAACCUCUGCCUAGUCAUCCUAAAUUCUUUUAUUAAAAAAUGGCCUUGAAUUUUUAAGAUGGAAAAACAUUUAAAAAAAAUUUCAAGGGUAAGGAGAAAACUUCUGGGGCUGUAGCUCAGUGGUAGAGUCACUGAGGUCCAUUUACAGGUCUGCAAAAAAUUAAUAUUUAAAAACAAAGAGAGAGAGAGAAAAAAACACCAAAUUUGACCUUUAGAAAAAUAAUGCAAUUUUUUGUUUGUUUGUUUUGCUUUUGGUACCGGGAAUUAAACUCAGGGGCACUCAACCACGGAGCCCCAUCCCCAUCGCUGUUUGUGUUUUAUUUAGAGACAGAGUCUCACUUAGCUGCUUAGGGCCUUGCUGUUGCUGAGGCUGGCUUUGAACUCACAAUCCUCCUGCCUCAGCCUCCCGAGCUGCUGGGAUUAGAGGCGAGCACCACUGCACUAAGCCAAGUAUAUUUUAAAAUGACCAAAAUUACAAUAAAAAAACCCACUUAUUAGUGCUUUAGAAGAAUAAUGCAUUAAUUUAAGGCAUUGAAUAAUAAAUACACUACUUAAUAUUUAAUAAUGCAUUACUUAAUUCAUUAAUGAUUAAUGCAUUAAUACAUAAAUAUAUUCUACAAUCUUGAUUUGUGUCUGAAACACAAAUUUAAGUUAAAUGGAUUUCUCACUCAAUUACUUAACCUUCUAACUUAAGAUCUCUAUGGCAUGCUGUAUGGAAGAUGGCAGAGUAGAAAAUUGUAAAUAUUAUUUUCUAAAUAAUACAUUCCAGUUAACAGAGGCUAGGCUUGACUGACUCUGAGGCUGGCCCCCAUUAUUGGGGCUGCCUAUCAUUUGAUAUGGCCGAUACUCUUAACCUAGUUUAACAGAACAUAGAAACUGAGACUCCAGAACUAUUAUCUAAAUUUCUUCCACAUCAAAAAACUCAUCAAUAGCAGAGCUAGACUGAGAGGAUCACCUUUCCACUCAUUAAAUCCUUUUAAAUGCAGAAGAAAUAUAGCACUUGCUCAAUAAUUACCAUGUGCUAGGCACUGUGAGAGUGAUUAUUCAAUUUAAUCUUUUUUUUUUUUUUUUUUUUUUAGUACUGAGGACUGAGCAGAGGUCCUUCACCCUUGAGUCCCAUCCCCAGCCGUUUUUCAUUUUAUUUAGAGACAGGGUCUCACUGAGUUGCUUAGGGCCUCACUAAGUUGCUGACGCUGGCCUCUGACUGGCUAUUCUCCUGCCUCAGCCUCCAGAGCUGCUGCAACUACAGGCAUACUCCACAGCACCUGGCUUUGAUUUAAUUCUUACGACAGCUCUGGAGUAGAUGUCACCUUCUUCGCAAGGUACAGAAAUCAUGGCUGGUGAAGGAGUGACCUCCAUGCCCUUAUCCUUCAAGCCCAUCCUCUGGGGCAUUCCUGCCCUCCCCUGCCUUGCCUGGCCCUCCCUCAUACCCGGCACCUCCCAGAAGUGCUCUCUCACUAACAGGCCAUGGAGCACCUACAGGCCGGCAGGCCAAGCACACAGGCCAAACUGGGCUGUUUUAAUGCCCCCAAUUUUAGAGCCAAUUCAAAUUCUCAACUAGACACAGAACUGUACCCAUGAUCUUUCUUACACUUCUGGGCUCCAUUGAAGGGGCUUGAUCUUUUGGGGUGUCACCCACUUCAAUCAUCUUGGCGCCAGCCAAGAGCUGCAUCAUGAGGCCCAAGGUGACAAUUGCAGAGAUACCCUGCUCCAUGAGUGUGCCUAAGGAAAGGGGCAGUCACAAAGCCCCUGUGAGCUCAGGAAAGCAAAGUAUCAUUUAAUAAAAUGAACCUAGAGAAUAGCAUGCGACCCCCUCUCCACUUUGGAUGGGCUUCAGGUUGCUGACUUAUAGAAUAACCCUCCAAAACCAAAGAUUAGAACACAAUUGAGUCCCUCUGUCGAGCCCACCAGACCCCAUGUCAUUCUGUUUGGAAAGUAACAUACCCCUCAACAGCCUGCUGCAUUCCCAUCCUUAUGGACAGAUCCAUUCUGGCUGGACAGAGGUCAGAGAGGCCCGUCCUUCAUCAGUUCAUAAAACUGGAGAACAUUCCAAUCAUUUCCUGAUUCUGCAGACAGGGCUGGCAAAAUUGGAUAUAGUUGGGAAUCAACCUUCCCCAUCAUGUUCAGAUGAGCUCUGAUUCUGAGUGACUGGAACUUCAUUGGAACCCCAUUUUUAAACCAUGUCCAUCAAAUCCACCAUCAACAUACACAAGAAAAUAGUUUCCAGACCCACAGGUGACUGGUUAGAAUCGACCCUCCACUGUCACUCAUGGUUUUGAUCUAUAUAUUUCAACUGUAGAUAUGAAAAAGAUGCAGCUGAGAAAACAAUGGAAAGUUCUAGAGAAUGUUCUAGGUGGACUGGCCAUCUUGUUUCAGGGAUUUCAAACACUCUAGUGUUUUCAGGUUUUCAGAAAUUCUCAAGCAGAGAUUUAUCUUGCUCUUCCAGGUUUUGUAUUGCAUUCAAACCCAACUCCAAAGAAGAUGGUGUUGCCCAGGCUGAAUGCACCAUUGAUCAGGCUGUUCGACAUGGCACAUGCAGAAUUUCCAGGCCACGGAGCUGCCCAUUCUCUGAGCU